rnacentral:rRNA from 1 species
UGGGGAAUUUUGGACAAUGGGCGAAAGCCUGAUCCAGCAAUGCCGCGUGUGUGAAGAAGGCCUUCGGGUUGUAAAGCACUUUUGUCCGGAAAGAAAUCCUUGGCUCUAAUACAGUCGGGGGAUGACGGUACCGGAAGAAUAAGCACCGGCUAACUACGUGCCAGCAGCCGCGGUAAUACGUAGGGUGCAAGCGUUAAUCGGAAUUACUGGGCGUAAAGCGUGCGCAGGCGGUUUGCUAAGACCGAUGUGAAAUCCCCGGGCUCAACCUGGGAACUGCAUUGGUGACUGGCAGGCUAGAGUAUGGCAGAGGGGGGUAGAAUUCCACGUNUGAGCAGUGAAAUGCGUAGAGAUGUGGAGGAAUACCGAUGGCGAAGGCAGCCCCCUGGGCAAUACUGACGCUCAUGCACGAAAGCGUGGGGAGCAAACAGGAUUNGAUACCCUGGUAGUCCACGCCCUAAACGAUGUCAACUAGCUGUUGGGGCCUUCGGGCCUUGGUAGCGCAGCUAACGCGUGAAGUUGACCGCCUGGGGAGUACGGUC